rnacentral:rRNA from 1 species
CCCAAUGUGGAAUUCGCCCUUUGCGCUACCUGGUUGAUCCUGCCAAGGAAGCACACUUAGGUCAGGGACUAAGCCAUGCAAGUGCUAGUUAAAGUAAUGAAACUGCGAACAGCUCAUUAACACACUCAGAAUCUAAUUGAUUGCGACAUUAAAGUCUUAUAUGGAUAGUCGGAGUAAAUCUCGGACUAAUACAUGCAAUUGUUUCAUCAGAAUCGAAAUAUGAUGGAAAAGUUGACCCUCAGGGGCAAAUCAUUGGAUUGAGUGUCCUAUCAGCUAUUAAGUAGGGUCUUUACCUAUUUAGGCUAUUACGGGUAACGGGCGGUUGCCGUCGGACUGCCGGAGAAGGCGCCUGAGAGAUAGCGACUAUGUCUACGGACAGCAGCAGGCGCGAAACUUACCCACUCGUAAAGCACGGAGGUGGUUAUGACCAGUUCUAUAUGAGAGUAUAUCUCAGGUAGAUAGGAAGAUACACAAAGACUAUCUUGAAAUCGAGCAGAGGGCCAGUCUGGUGCCAGCAGCUGCGGUAAUUCCAGCUCUGUAAGUGUGCUCCCAUAUUGUUGCAGUUAAAAAGCCCGUAGUCGGAUUUCUAAUGACUAAUUAUUCACUGUGAAUAAAUUAGGACGCUUAAAGUAUGGUUGCAUGAAUACUGUAGCGCAGUAUGAAAGAUUUUGCUCUUGUGGCAAGAUCAAAGAGAGCCAUCGGGGGUAUUUCUAUUUCAUGGCGAGCGGUGAAAUGCGUUGACCCAUGGGAGAGAAACGAAAGCGAAGGCAAAUACCCAAAGGGUUUCUGUCGAUCAAGGGCGAGAGUAGGGGGAGCGAACCGGAUCAGAGACCCGGGUAGUCCCUACUGUAAACGAUGUCGACAGGGGAUUGUCUACACUUUAGGCGGAACCUUAGCAAAAAUGAUAGUUCAUGGACUCUGGGGGAACUACGACUGCAAGGCUGAAACUUGAAGGAAUUGACGGAAGGGCACACNCAGGGGUGGAGCCUGUGGCCUAAUUUGAAUCAACACGGGGAAACUUACCAGAACCAGAUGAUUCGAUGACUUACAUCUAAAAGAGCUUUAAGGAUGGGUUUGAUGGUGGUGCAUGGCCGUUGGUGGUGCGUGGGUUGACCUGUCACGAGUCGAUUCAGUUAACGAGCGAGACUACCGCCAAAUAUUAGCCAAGCUAUACAUUAGUGGAAGCUUCUAUUUGGGACUACCUGUUAUCAAGCGGGAGGAAGAGGGUAGCAAUAACAGGUCCGUGAUGUCCUUUAGAUGCUCUGGGCUGCACGCGUGCUACAAUGUGAAUCACAAAGGAUUUAAAAUCCGAAAGGAUGCAUUACUUCUUGAAAGAUUCACGUAGCUGGGAUUGACAUUUGGAAUCAUUGUCAUGAACCAGGAAUCCCUUGUAAAUGUAUGUCAACACCGUACGUUGAAUACGUCCCUGCCCUUUGUACACACCGCCCGUCGCUCCUACCGAUUGGACGUUUUGGUGAAAAUACUGGACUUCUUUGAAAGGUAUUUAAAUCAGCUCGUCUAGAGGAAGGAGAAGUCGUAACAAGGUAACGGUAGGUGAACCUGCAGAAGGAUCAAAGGGCGAAUUCCACAGUG